GGUGCCAAUUUUACCCAAUUCAUUUGCGUACGGAUCGCGCGCCUGAGAACAUCUCGUCUUGCGGUGUCGAUCUUCCGUAUCCGUCCAAGCUAAAUCCCACCGGUGUGUCGUCGGUGUGCGUGUUGCGUGGGUAGUGUUUGUCUAUGUUAAGGUCACCGUAGACUCCACGUGAUAGACUCCAUACCCCCAAAAACCCAAAUACCCGGUAGUGUAGUGUCCUAAACGGCUCCAGCAUAUAAUAGUAGUGAUGUUACAAACGCGGCAACCAGUGGACAAACGAGGGCGGUCAUGUCCGUUGGGAAUUGUGAUAGUUGCAGCCUGUUGGUUGGUUGCCGUUCCGGCCACCGUACGGGCAGCGGCCCUUGUCGCAAAGGAAGUGCCCUAUAUUGUCGAUAAUCGGCAGCUAGAAGCACUCGAGCCCUCCUGCAAGAGUGAAAUUUACUGUCAUGGAGAUCUGCUGAAGACGGUGCAGAUGAGCGAAAUCUAUCCAGAUUCGAAGACGUUCGUGGACAUGAAGAUGCGUCAGUCGCCGAACGAUACGCUCGAUUCGUUCCACGAGUUUAUGGCCGCCCAGAACAACAGCCCGUCGAGGGAUAAGCUGCGGGAGUGGGUUGAGCUGAACUUUGACAAGCCGGGUGCCGAGUUCGAGCUAUGGACACCGGAAGAUUGGACCGCCAAGCCAAAGUUCCUCGACCGCAUCAAGGAUACCGAUUUGCGCGAAUUUGCCUCCGAGCUCAACAAGAUUUGGCAUGAGCUCGGUCGCAAAAUGACGACGGAUGUUGCGCUCAAUCCGGAUCUGUACUCCAUCAUCCAUGUGGAUAAUCCGGUAAUCGUCCCUGGUGGUCGGUUCCGGGAGUUCUACUACUGGGACUCGUACUGGAUCGUGAAGGGAUUGCUGCUGUCCGAAAUGUACUCAACCACCAAGGGCAUGCUGGAGAACUUCCUGUCGAUCAUCCAGCGCUAUGGUUUCAUUCCGAACGGUGGACGCAUCUACUACAGCAUGCGUUCGCAGCCACCGCUGCUGUGCGGUAUGUUCAAGGCGUACGUCGAAGCCACCAACGACACCAAAUUUGCGAUGGACAGUGUGGAGAUACUCGAACGCGAGUUUCAAUUCUUCAUGAACAACUACGUGACGGAGGUGAACAACCAUCAGCUCGCGACGUACGGGUACAAAUCGAGCGGACCGCGGCCAGAAUCGUACCGAGAGGAUGUGCUCAGUGCGGCCAUCUUCGAGCGGGAAGAGGACAAACAGGACUACUACUGUGAGCUGAAGGCUGCCGCCGAAAGUGGUAUGGAUUUCUCGAGCCGUUGGUUCAUCAAGGACGGCACCAACUCGGGCAACCUUACCGAUCUCAAAUGCCGCUCGAUCGUAGCGGUCGAGCUUAAUGCAAUCCUCUACUGGAACGCACUCGUCAUUGCGGAGUUCUACGGUUAUCGUAACGAUAUCAACUCGAUCGCGAAAAAGGAAGAAUAUCUCGCCAAGGCGGAAGAGCUGAAGAAAGCGAUCAAUGCGGUACUGUGGGAUGAGCAGGAAGGUGCCUGGUUCGAUUACGAUCUGAUCAACAAGAAGCUGCGCAAAUACUUCACACCAACGAACCUGUCGCCGCUGUGGGUUGGAUGUUACGAUCGGGCGGAUAAGAAUCUACCGAAGCGCGUACUGGACUACAUUGAUCGCUUGCAGCUCGAUCGCUAUCCCGGCGGUGUGCCGAACACGCUGCAGAACACCAACGAACAGUGGGACUUCCCGAACGUGUGGGCCCCGAUGCAGCAUAUGCUCGUGAUGGGGCUGGAUUCGCUCGACAACGCGGACGCGAAGGAACUUGCCUUCCGGUGGGCGCAACGGUGGGUUCGGGGGAAUUAUCUCACCUACAACAAAACGAAGGCCAUGUUCGAGAAGUACGAUGCACAAGAGCUCGGUGGACAUGGCAGUGGAGGUGAGUACGACGUGCAGACCGGGUUCGGCUGGACAAACGGUGCCGCAAUGGAUCUGAUGAACAAGUACGGCGACAGACUGACGACAGGUGCGAUAGAGUGAACAAGCGUCCAUCCAAUACUUUCAUUCUAUCCUACUUCCGAUUUUCAACCAUGUGCCGUUGUAUGUGUCCUGCAUCCUUUCUCCGAGGUCCCGACGUGGAAGUUAAAAAAAAAACACACACACACACAUAUAAUCAUUAUCAUGAUCCGCCAUCACAAAAGAAAAUUUGACGAGCAGAACUUUCGAAUAAGAAUGUCCUCUCGUUUUUCUCUUGUUGUCCCACGUACACUUUUGUGAGAAAGGAGAAGCGCGAUUCAUUCGACUCAUGACACUCGCAUUUUUUAUGUUUGUUUCCUGUCCGUUUAAAAAACAUACGCAUUGAUUUCCAUUUAUGUAUUUUUGUUUGUUUUGUUUAAAAAAAAAGUUAUAACAAAAUACGACAGAGAGUAGAUCGAGAGUUUAGGUUUAGGGUUUAGUACAAAGCAAAUAGCCGACUACAGGCACCUUCCUGUUAGCUUACCCUCAGGAUGGCUGUUUUACGUCCGUGUGGAGUGGCCUCUAAGUGACAAUAAUGGCGUAUUUAUUUGACAACACUUGCAUCGCUUGGUGUGAUUGAACGAGAACAUUGUUAGAGUUCCCUUACAUUGCGAGUGAAAGAUUAACGUGCGAAUCUUAUUAAAAGCCGUAGAAGAUUAUUGUUGUAGCCUGCUUUUAUGGUUUUUCUGUGCCAGGACAAGCAUUAUCUUUCGCAGAGUGUCGACCGAAGGGCAAACAAAUAAUGCAAUGCAACCAACGCCCGAGAUAGAGUAGUGUUUUAGAAGCAGAUGUGAUAGUUAGGACGGAAAUUGGAAUCAAUUUUAACAUGUAUCUAAAGCAAACCGACGGAAAUGAUCCGUAUUCUUGAGACAUUUUAACAACCUUUCCCUUCUAUGGCACAAACAAACAACGAACGAGCGACGCCUUAGCUGUAGUUUGCUCAGAAUAGAAUAGAAUUUACGGAUGUCAAACAUUUUACAAGCAAAUCAUCCAACACGGGUGUAGUACUGCUACGAAAUAAAAAAAAACGCGCAAACAAGAAUGGCAAGCAGAGAACUCACAGUAGUCUCGUGCGGAAGAUAAAAGUGAAUUGGUCAAAUCAUUAAUAUCGCAGCGAGCAAAAAUUGCAAAACAAUGCACCGAAAACAUCCAUCUGUGUACGUCCAAACUUCCUUCCGCAUCAUCGAAGGUAUCUUGCGUCCAUCAUCUGUACCGUUUCUUCGCACCCUAUGAAACUAUUGGCGCUUCUUCUGAAGUGAUGUUCUAAAUUUUGCUCACCAUCUUUACGCCGCACGAAACAAAACCUCACCAUGGAAUUGUGUUGGAUGACGAAGGGAAUCCGAAUGACACUGGAAAUGGAAACGGUGCGCUGGUAGCAUACUCCAUCAACACCGGUAUUAUUGCCACCAUUAUAGCAUUCUUCGUUGGCGUGUUCGGGUGAGCUUAAUCGUCGAUGCUGAACCAUCAUUUCAUCCGUGUCUCCUGGAACACACUUUUCAAUAUUAACCGCACGAACCGGCACCGGCAGAUCACGCAUUGAAUUUGUGUCUCAACGCGCGUUUUGCUUUCCUAGCGCUUAAUAUGUGAUAUAGGACAACCGUAAACGAAAGAAAAGCUAUAUUCCCCACCUUUCCAUAUUCUUACUUAUCAUUCCUCUUAACAGAAAUAAUCUAUAACCUGCCUGUUGCAUUGCUUGUGUGAUACAGAGCUGCAAGUAUUAUUUAAAACCACGAUCGUAUUACGCAUUGCAGGGCAAACGAAAUGCGUUCUUUUGGUUUUAUCGAUCAACAACGUUUAUCAUCUGUUGAUUACCCCUCCCGUAUUAUGCAUGGACUUAAAAACGAAAUUAAGCAAACAAUCCAUAAAACGUUAAACACUAGUUCAUCGAUUUGUUCCACAUUCGGCGAAAGAAAGUAUUAAAUAAUAAUUUUCCUUCUCUUAUUUCCCCCUAAACGGUUUGAUCGGUGCUUGCAUUUGAAAUUUGCCAACCGCAGCAUAUUCCGACGGUUUUUCGGUCGAUGAACCACCCGUUACAAUGGCGUCAACUACGAAGUGUUGGUUGUGGUCGUAUUUCUAUUAAAUAA